AUGAAAAAACCACCUUCUUCAACAAAGCACAGCUCGACAGAGACAAACUACAAAGACCUACAGAAACAGGUGACCGAGAAGCUAGAGAGGUUACUCAAAGAGAAGAACCAGAGAGCUGGAGACAGAUGUCUGGAAGUGAAUGGCAGUCAGGUGCACAGAGAGCAGCCAGCAGAGAGGGGAGCCAGAGUGAAGGCAGCUCCAGCACAGGAGAAGGAUCACAGCAGUGCAGAAGCAUGUACCAAACCUUCCUUCCCAGCUCCAGCGAAGCAGGCUGAGAAAGCAGCACCUGUGCUGGACAGAAAGCCAAGCACAUUUAGCAAGGACUCCUCAUUCCGAAAACAGGGGAGUUCACAGUCGACGAAGGAAACUGAAAUUUCUGAGAGGAGGACAGAUCAGAGAAAGACCAUCUCAGUGAUGAAAAGAUGCAUUGAUGUCACAGAAACAACAACGUCCAUUUCAGGAAAGUGCAGAACUGUGACAGGACAAGGGCUAGAUACUUCUCUUCAGAAAAGAUCUCACCUGGAAAAAUCUUGGUCAUUUUCAUUCACAGAAAAGGGAAUUUUGGAAAGCCCAGGAUUAAUGAAAUCAUCUUCUCAUUCCAAGCAAACAAAGAAAACUGCAGUGCCCCCUGAGUAAUAUCUCAUUGAAAUAUCUACCAAUCAUGUUUGUUUUGAUUGCUUCUCAUUGCUGACUGUCCCUGUGUUUAAUUUUGAAAGAUCUUACAACACAUAAAUGAAACUUAAAUUGAGCUUUAAUUUUCAUGUGUUUUAUUGUGACCAUGUUUGGAAGUGUUUUUCCUUAAACAAUUAUGAUGUUUUUUUCCAAUGUUUUCAUAGGGAUGACAUUUACAGCUUCAGGGAUGACUCAAUAGUAAAAUGUGGGGUAGGAGGUGUCUAUUGCUGUUGUUUCUUACUUACAUCUAGUUAUUGUAUCACUAAAUGUCAUGAGUGGUGUUCAUUGAACCUUAUUUUAAUAUUUAGGAAGGAGAGAGAACGCUGCCAAAAAGAUCAGAGACAAAGAAAAGGUAAGAGCACACUCCAUUACGAAGGUCCUGUUUGACUACUGAGUAUCAAGCAGCCCUUCUCUCCUUCAUAAACGUCUUUGCAUU
rnacentral:lncRNA from 1 species